UUUUGCUUAAGAAUUCUAUGUGCUCAACACAAAUAUCAAAAGCUCUAUGAAACCAAGGAGAGGCAAGCUUCUUUUAUUCAAAGCUUCCUAUACCUAGUCAGAUGGCAGCACACGAGUACCAAACCCACUUCAAUUAUUACUAUGAACUUUUAGCUCAAUUUGGACUCUUAUGAAGACCACAAUUGGUUUUCCAACAUGAAUAUUAGUUCAAUAUAGAUUCUUAUUGAAAAACGCCAACCAGCCAAUUUUUAAUAGAAAAACAAUAUCUAUUAAAACAAAUGAAUUAGACCAAUCAAGUAAGAGAAGAUUUCAACGUGCAAGUCAUAAUAGGAAAAGAUAAUAUUUUAACUUAAAUCAAAA
rnacentral:lncRNA from 1 species